CCACAUUCUUCAUUGUCAUAUGUCCAUCAAAGUAAUACAUCCUUCACUCACAGUCAUACUCUAUAUUAACAAUUCAUAUUAGCAGACUUAACAAUCCAGGUGUCCUAUCCACAAUCCUCUGUUCCGUAAACCAUUGACAAAACAUCGCAGCCCCAUAGGUUUAGUGAAGUCAAGUGUUCACUCUCUCCAUCUUCUUGAAAACUGGUGUUCCAUACCAAACUCUUAAAAUAAGAGUCACUGUGGACAGCCAAGUCCAGG